rnacentral:rRNA from 1 species
GGAUCAUUACAGAGUUGCAAAACUCCAAACCCAUGUGAACAUACCUCGUGUUGCCUCGGCGGCGAGCGUAGUGCUCGGGUAGGUGCCUACCCGGUACCUACCCUGUAGUUACCCUGUAGUCUCCUACCCUGGAGCUGCGAGGUACCUACCCUGGAGCUACCCUGUAGUAACCUACCCGGUAGCUACCCUGGAGGACAUGCGCAUCCGCCGGAGGACCACUCAAACUCAAACUCUUGUUUCUGUGUGGCACAUCUGAGUAAUUAUACUUAAUAAGUCAAAACUUUCAACAACGGAUCUCUUGGUUCUGGCAUCGAUGAAGAACGCAGCGAAAUGCGAUAAGUAAUGUGAAUUGCAGAAUUCAGUGAAUCAUCGAAUCUUUGAACGCACAUUGCGCCCAUUAGUAUUCUAGUGGGCAUGCCUGUUCGAGCGUCAUUAAGUCCAUUAAGCCUAGUUGCUUAGCGUUGGGAGCAUUACCGUACGGUAACUCCUCAAAGUCAGUGGCAGGGUUACGGUACACUCUAAGCGUAGUAGAUUUCUUUCUCGCUUUUGUUGUGGCCGCGGCCGUUGCCAUAAACCUAUACUUUUUAGUUGGUUGACCUCGGAUCAGGUAGGAAUACCCGCUGAACUUAAGCAUAUCAAUAAGCGGAGGAAAAGAAACCAACAGGGAUUGCCUUAGUAACGGCGAGUGAAGCGGCAACAGCUCAAAUUUGAAAUCUGGCCCCAGGCCCGAAUUGUAAUUUGUAGAGGAUGCUUUUGGUGCGGUACCUUCCGAGUUCCCUGGAACGGGACGCCUUAGAGGGUGAGAGCCCCGUACGGUUGGAUGCCUAGCCUCUGUAAAGCUCCUUCGACGAGUCGAGUAGUUUGGGAAUGCUGCUCUAAAUGGGAGGUAAAUUUCUUCUAAAGCUAAAUACCGGCCAGAGACCGAUAGCGCACAAGUAGAGUGAUCGAAAGAUGAAAAGCACUUUGAAAAGAGGGUUAAAUAGUACGUGAAAUUGUUGAAAGGGAAGCGCUUAUGACCAGACUUUUGCCCUGCGGAUCAUCUGGUGUUCUCACCGGUGCACUUCGCUUGGUUUAGGCCAGCGUCGAUUUUGGUAGGGGGAUAAAGGCUCGGGAAACGUGGCUCUUCCGGGAGUGUUAUAGUCCCCUGCGUAAUACCCUUACCGGGAUCGAGGU